AAGUCCGGUAGUGAUUUCACAUCGAAUUGCAAAUUCGAAGAGGCCGUAUUUUCUUGGCCCGGACU
rnacentral:tRNA from 1 species